GUAGUCCAUGCCGUAAACGUUGGGAACUAGAUGUAGGGCCUGUUCCACGGGUUCUGUGUCGUAGCUAACGCAUUAAGUUCCCCGCCUGGGGAGUACGGCCGCAAGGCUAAAACUCAAAGGAAUUGACGGGGGCCCGCACAAGCGGCGGAGCAUGCGGAUUAAUUCGAUGCAACGCGAAGAACCUUACCAAGGCUUGACAUAUACGAGAACACUGUAGAGAUACAGGACUCUUUGGACACUCGUAAACAGGUGGUGCAUGGUUGUCGUCAGCUCGUGUCGUGAGAUGUUCGGUUAAGUCCGGCAACGAGCGCAACCCUCGUCCUAUGUUGCCAGCACGUAAUGGUGGGAACUCAUGGGAUACUGCCGUGGUCAACACGGA
rnacentral:rRNA from 1 species